CCUACGGGUGGCAGCAGUGAGGAAUAUUGGUCAAUGGACGGAAGUCUGAACCAGCCAUGCCGCGUGCAGGAAGACGGCUCUAUGAGUUGUAAACUGCUUUUGUACAAGGGUAAACCUGAAUACGUGUAUUCUGCUGAAAGUACUGUAUGAAUAAGGAUCGGCUAACUCCGUGCCAGCAGCCGCGGUAAUACGGAGGAUCCAAGCGUUAUCCGGAUUUAUUGGGUUUAAAGGGUGCGUAGGCGGAUUGAUAAGUUAGAUGUGAAAUGUCCGAGCUUAACUCGGGAACUGCCUCUAAUACUGUGAAUCUAGAGAGUAGAUGCGGUAGGCGGAAUGUAUGGUGUAGCGGUGAAAUGCUUAGAGAUCAUACAGAACACCGAUUGCGAAGGCAGCUUACCAAUCUAUAUCUGACGUUGAGGCACGAAAGCGUGGGGAGCAAACAGGAUUAGAUACCCUAGUAGUC
rnacentral:rRNA from 1 species